GUUCAGCUUUGUUCUUACUUUGUUUGUGUUACACUGGGAUCCAGUCAUCCAUUGGCACAGAGGCACAGUUUCCACUUUGAUACAAUCUGUGUCAGCCUGGCAGUUAAUUUAUUUAGCAGCAUCUUAAAUUUUUUUUUUCAUAAAAUCCAGCUCCUGCAGGAUAUUUAUCAGCAUCUUUGCAAGACAGGAUGAAUUCAAAAUAAAGUAUAGGAGAAGAAACAUUCAGAUAAUUGCCUUUGAUGAGUUAAGGGCGGAUUUUAAGAGCCCCAUAGACCAGUGCAACCCUGUUCAUGCGAGGGAACGGCUGAGGAACAUCGAGCGCAUCUGCUUCCUUCUGCGAAAGCUGGUGCUGCCAGAAUACUCCAUCCAUAGCCUCUUCUGCAUUAUGUUCCUGUGUGCGCAAGAGUGGCUCACGCUGGGGCUGAAUGUCCCUCUACUUUUCUAUCACUUCUGGAGGUAUUUCCACUGUCCGGCAGAUAGCUCAGAACUAGCCUACGACCCACCGGUGGUCAUGAAUGCCGACACUUUGAGUUACUGUCAGAAGGAGGCCUGGUGUAAGCUGGCCUUCUAUCUCCUCUCCUUCUUCUACUACCUUUACUGCAUGAUCUACACUUUAGUGAGCUCUUAACGCAAAGACCAUGCACGUCAUCAGAGACUGAGAUGGGAGAGGCCUGAGACGGAGAGGUGUGUUUCUGCUGGUGACUGGAGGAGGGACCAGAAUGAGGAUAUGUGAGAAAUAGACCCGGCAGGCAGUCAGACUGAAUGGGAGCUGGGAUCACGCAGCAGCCGGGAGCCGAGUUAACCCUGCGUGUCUGUGUCACCCUGUUUGUCAAUCUUUGGCAUUCGAAUUCCACACACGGGGUCCUAGAGCCCUUCUGAGCAUCAGUGGUGUG
rnacentral:sRNA from 1 species